GAGGGUAUAGCUCAGUGGUAGAGCACGUGUUUAGCAUGCAUGAGGUCCUAGUUUCAACCCCCAGUACCUCCA
rnacentral:tRNA from 1 species